AGGACUCGGCCGGGCCGCCGGAUGUGACGCAGGGGCCAGGGCGCGUCGGAGCCGCUGAGAAAGCGCAGAGAAGGCGGGCCCCGUCUGAGGUCUGGCAGUCAGAGACAGCCGGGCGCCCACGGCCCGAGCGCCCACGGCAGCACCAUGCCCGCACUCCUGGAGCGCCCCAAGCUUUCCAACGCCAUGGCCAGGGCGCUGCACCGGCACAUUAUGAUGGAGCGGGAGCGCAAGCGGCAGGAGGAAGAAGAGGUGGAUAAGAUGAUGGAACAGAAGAUGAAGGAAGAACAGGAGAGAAGAAAGAAAAAGGAGAUGGAAGAGAGAAUGUCACUAGAGGAGACCAAGGAACAAAUUCUGAAGUUGGAGGAGAAGCUUUUGGCCCUACAGGAAGAGAAGCACCAGCUUUUCCUGCAGCUCAAGAAAGUUUUACAUGAGGAAGAAAAACGGAGGCGAAAGGAACAGAGUGACCUGACCACCCUGACAUCAGCUGCAUACCAGCAGAGCCUGACUGUUCACACAGGAACUCAUCUCCUCAGCAUGCAGGGUGAGGACUAAAGAAACCACCUGAUGGAACCGGCCUUCUUGGAGGUCACAGCCUCCCAUUUCAGCAUCAUGAAGCCCUUCUCCCUUUCUAGGGAGCCCUGGAGGACACAAUCGCCCAGGCACCCUCAUGGCAGCUGACAGAGCCAAACAAAUGUUUGGACCCCAAGUGCUUACGGUGAGAGUAGGAUUGGAUGCCUAGCCCCUAGUACUUCCAUCCAUGCAUCCUUGCCACCAGUAUUCAAGUCACAAACAUAUCAAGCACUUAAGUUUAGGGGGAAACGGGGCAUACAGAUACACACAAGUCACUGGGUUUCAGCUUUCAAGGAGUUUGUAGGCGAGUUCUCAUUCUCCUUCCUUAGACCCGGCACUACGUGGGCUCAGCAGCUGCUUUUGCAGGGACACCAGAGCAUGGACAAUUCCAAGGCAGUCCUGGUGGUGCCUAUGGGACUGCUCAGCCCCCACCUCACUAUGGGCCCACACAGCCAGCUUAUAGUCCUAGUCAGCAGCUCAGAGCUCCUUCGGCGUUCCCUGCAGUGCAGUACCUAUCUCAGCCACAGCCACAGCCCUAUGCUGUGCAUGGCCACUUUCAGCCCACUCAGACAG
rnacentral:sRNA from 1 species